AUGUUGUCCCAAGGCUCAACUUACGCCGUUUACAAGCUAGCAGAGGAGCCCUACGGGCUGAACUUUCCAGUCAAUGCAUCGGUGAGCGUUGGAGGAAGCGUUCUUGCAUGCAAGGUCUGCGUCCAACGUAACCCACACAUGAUCCGUCCGGAGGACGUAGCACUCCCUCAUGAAAGGGUGGAUGGUUGGAUGGAGCUGGAGUUGGGUGAGUUUGUUUGUGAGGCUGGUGAAGAUGGCGAUGUGUCCUUCGGCCUGUCAAAGACUGAAUAUUUGAACGGCAAGAGCGGUCUCCUCUUGCAGGGCAUCGAGAUCAGGCAUAAGAAUUAG
rnacentral:rRNA from 1 species